GGACAAGUAUCGAAACAAGUCCAUUAUCUGAGGCUAAGAGAAGAUCGUUGGUAACUUUCAACAGUGCUGUUUCUGUACUAUGAUGUGCUCUAAAUCCUGAUUGGAAAUCUUCAAAUAGUUCAUUCCUGUGUAAGUGGUCUGAUAGCUGCUUAGCAACAGCCUUUUCUAUGAUUUUAGAAAUAAAUGGCAGGUUGGAUAUUGGUCUAUAAUUAGCCAAGACUCCUGGAUCAAGACUAGGCUUUUUGAGUAAAGGUUUGAUUACUGCAGUCUUAAAGGCCUGUGGUACGUAGCCUGAUACUAGAGAUAAAUUUACCAAGUCCAAUAAAGAUGAGUUCAUUAAUGGCAGGGUGCCUUUAAGCAGUCUAGUCGGGAUGGGGUCCAAGAGACACGUUGAUGAUUUCGAUGAAGCAACUACUGAUGUAAAUUCAGAGAGAUCUAUAGGAGAGAAGCAGUCUAAACAUAACUGAGGUCCUACAGAUGAUUCAAGAGCUACUGUAGUAAAAGAUUCAUUUAUUGCAGGUAUAGGAAGCAUCUGCUGAAUUUUAUCUCUAAUAGUUGUGAUUUUAUUUGUAAAGAAACUCAUAAAUUCAUCACUGCUGAGAGCUAUGGUUUUCAACAACUGUGAUUCGCAACUGUGUCUAUUUACAAUAACUGAUGGUCUGUUUCAUAGGAGCCAUGGCGUCUAAAUGCUCCUCUUGUUGCUGAAGUGAAACUUACUGAGACACCCAGAAUUGCACUUACUGAGAGCCAUGGCCUGACCAUUGACCUGAGAGUCCGUGUCCAAGUAUUAUCAGCACCACAGAACAGGGAACCACAUGUCAUUACCUCAGUGUCUGCGACCUGUAACAGUAAUGUGAAGGUUGAUAUUCAGGGAAAUCGUCUGACUCUUCCUUAUAAUGACAUCAGCUGUGCAGUUGUCACCAGAAAUGUCAUAAGAGACAUUAUGGUAAGAAACGUGUCCUGUUAUAAUAAUAAUAAUAAGACAAUAAUAAUAAUAAUAAUAAUAAUAAUAAUAAUAAUAAUAAUAAUGAUGAUGUUGAACAGGUGAAACCUCUGAACAGCCUCCUGACAGACAGGAUCUCUGACUUCCUGGCCAGUAAGCAGCAAUGACUGUAUUCCAGUGCACGUUGAUUAUUGCUAACUUUUCACUGUUAGAUUAGUGCAGUGAAAGUGAUUAUGAUCUUCUGUCUGUCUGCAGGUUGGUUUUCUGAGGGAGUAGUGCUUCCUCUGCCCGAAGGAGUGAUCUUCACUCAGGGGCUGAUUAAGUACCAUGAUGUGAGUCUGUUCACACUUAAACUAGAUUAGAAAACGUGGAUGCAGAAUAGCUGAGAAGAGAAAAUGGAAGCAGUAUGUUGACCUGUUUGAUUAACUGUUCUCUGGCACUUCACACCCAUGUGAUGUGUGCAGGGCUUCGUCCUAGUCGGAGGAGACCUAACCUUCACUCCAGCUGGGAGGAGAAACAUCAGAGAUUUUGGCAGAUAAACAACAGCUAUGAAUCUGACGAGCAUCUCUCUGCUUCUAAAAGUAUUUGAUUGUUCACAUUGUACCAGUUGAAGUUCAGUAUCUAUUAUCUAUGGCUUAUUCCUGUUAUCCAGGGUCGGGGGGCUGCAACCAAUCCUAGCAUGCAGUGGGUGAGAGGCAGGUCCCCCCUGAACAGAUCAUGAACAGAACAUCAGAACAGAUCAGAACAUAGGGUGGGAAGGGACAGAGUGAUACCACUGAUCCACAAUGCUCCCCAGUAAAAAUUCUGUCACAAGUUCCAGUACUGGAUUGAACUGUCACCCUUUACAACCUUGCAGCCUGUUUUUCUGAUUCUUUCCACUGCAAUAAAAGGCUUCGGCAUCACUGAGUCUCAUCUGAAAUGUAGGUGACACAUGACGAUAAAGAACAAAUAAGAACACAGUUUGAAAAACAGAAUCCCAUUAUCAGUAAGAAAACUAAUUUGUCCAUACAGUAGAUUAAAGUUAAUGUGAAACUGUGACACAAUUUAAAGCUGCUAUUCCCAUCAUGCAC
ensembl:lncRNA